CAGUAAUGCGUUAAGCUAACUGAUACUAAUUGCCCGUAAGGCUUGAUCCUAUAACAG
rnacentral:rRNA from 1 species